UGUGGGCCGCUAGGGAAGCUUUUGGGAGUAGCUUGUUUGUUUUCUGUCUCAAAAAGUAGCCGGUCUGCAGCCGGCAUGUGGCUGUUGAGUUUCUAGGGUGCACAGUUUUUGCUUUUCUGAACCGGUUUGCUUUUCUGAACCGGGCGAGGGGCCGUGGCGCCGCACCUCGCGCAGGCCCCGCGCCGGUGGCUCGCGCUUGCCUUGAAGUUGUCAGAAAUCCCUCCCAGGGCCGAGAUAGGCUGGCAUCCUGGCCUUGAUGGGAGUGGUGGAUUUUUUUUUUUUUUCUUUUUUCCCCACAGACACCUGGUGGGAAAUGAGAAGACUCUAGCGGAGUCUGCAAGUCAGAUAUUUCCCCCUGGAAACCCAGGCAGCGUCCUUGAACGACUGCCCUUGCAGUUUCGCACUUGGCUUUAGUUGGGCCUGGGAUCCCUAUUGUAUGAUCUUUGGACUCGUAAUUUUUGGUGUUUCAACCCUGGAGGAAUGCCUGUGUGUCAGGGGACGUGGGGAAGCCCCCAGCUGCAGUGAUGGACGGAGACCCUCGUUGCAGGGUGCCCCCCAAAAUGUGCACACACUUCAACAGCUGAUAGCUCAGUUUUGAAAAUGAAACGUGCCUUUAUAAUUAUUCAAAGUGUGUAUACAUUUUUGGGGGGGGACACUAUAUAUAUAUAGUAUGUCAUCCUUAAUAUACAUAAUUCAUUGGAAACUACCAUCCUCACCACAGGCCCCAGAACACACCAUUCCAAUUCAGGAGUGAGAGGAAUGUUGGAGUGAAAUGGGUUUGAAGAGUGCGUGGUGGAUGGGAGAUUGAGCAGCCGUCCUGUGAAGAACACAGGUGACAGAAGGGACUGCCGCCAUUGGCAGAUGAGGACACUGAUGCUCCGGGAGGUCUCCUGGCGGAGAACUGGAGACACUGGCUGAUAAUAUUGCACUAUCCUGUGGAAAUCCUCUGCUGGCUGGUGCUGGCAGCCAGGACGGGCAGAUGGACGUGCGAUGGAGGAGACCAAGCACAACCUGGAAUGGGGUGUCUCCCGUCAGAGCCCGUGUCGGUCUCACCACCUCCAGCCCUUGAACUUUGAAGAUUCUUGGGGAGGAAAGAGCGGAGCGGUGGAUGCCACUGGGGUUUGCUAGGCGGCCGGCAAGGAUCCGCCCAGGAAGGUGUGGGCAGGUGGGAGUGGGUCACUGGCCUUGCACAGGCAGCUCGUUCUGCAGUGGCAGCUGAAGAAAGAGCCCCCGCCACACCCUCGCUCCAGGCUCUGGGCUCGAUUCUGAAGAAUUCCUGUGGCUCUGGCCUUGCAAGAAUUUUCAGAGUCAGACCCUACAUUCCCACCCAGUCUUCAGCCGAGAGAAGUCUCACCGCUGCCUCGGCACCUGCGGAAGCAGGUGGUCCUGUCUCUUCUUGUGAAGCUCCCAUCACCGAUCAUGUCCAAGUACCCAGGGAGCAGAGCAUGGAGAGGCACAGUGUGGCGUUGUCUGUCGGACUGGCAGAAGGACGUGCCUUUGUGGCUGUCUCGACAGGCAAGCACUGUCGACUGGUCAGGACCCGUUUUUAAAGCCUGUU